GCUGCAGUGUGAGCGGAAAUGCUCUCAGGUGGGUGGAGAAAUGGACUGGACCCCCGGGCUGCCAUCCCGGUCAUCAAGAAGAAGCUAGUGGGAUCUGUGAAGGCGUUGCAGAAGCAGUACGUGUCCUCGGACACAGUGGUCACUAGCGAAGACGGAGAUGCCAACACCAUGUGCAGUGCCCUGGAGGCUGUAUUUAUCCACGGCCUGCAUGCCAAGCACAUCCGAGCCGAGGCCGGAGGGAAAAGGAAGAAGAGCGCCCACCAGAAGCCUCUGCCUCAGCCUGUCUUCUGGCCCCUCCUGAAAGCUGUCACCCACAAACACAUCGUCUCGGAAUUGGAGCACCUGAUCUUUGUCAGCACGGACGUGGGCCGCUGCCGGGCCUGGCUGAGGCUGGCCCUCAAUGACGGCCUGAUGGAGUGCUACCUGAAGCUGCUCCUCCAGGAGCCCGCCCGCCUGUGCGAGUACUAUCAGCCCACAGCCCUGCUUCGAGACGCCGAGGAGGGCGAGUUCCUCCUCAGCUUCCUGCAGGGACUGACGUCCUUAUCCUUCGAGCUCUCCUACAAGUCCGCCAUCUUAAACGAGUGGACGCUUACCCCACUGGCUCUCUCUGGGCUUUGCCCGCUCUCUGAGCUCGACCCCCUCACCACCUCUGGGACAGAACUACAGCGGAAAGAGUCUCUGGAUUCAAUUUCCCAUUCCUCAGGCUCGGAGGACAUCGAAGUCCAGCACUCAGGCCAUAAGAUCCGACGGAACCGGAAGCUCACGGCCUCCUCCCUCAGCCUGGACACCGCCAGUUCAUCCCAGCUGUCUUGCAGCCUAAACUCUGAUAGCUGCCUACUCCAAGAGAAUGGCUCCAAGAGUCCAGACCGUUCCGAGGAGCCCAUGUCCUCCGACUCCGACCUGGGGACAGCAAAUGCCGAUGACUCAGACCCGUCUCUGCAAGAGGUGUUGUCGGAAUUCAGCAAAGCCCAGGUAAACUCUGUGCCAACCAACGGACUGAGCGGACUGAGUGGAGAAAUGGAGAUUCCCACGGGGCGGGCCUCACUCCCCCUCCCCGGCCUGGAGGCCAGCAUCCCUUUUGAUGUGCCCGCAGGGCCCCUCCCGCCCCAAGCAUCCUCUGGGACUCAAGAUGGGGACCGCAAGCAGGAGCCGCCUCCCCAGGCACCUGGCACCCUGGGCUUGCUGCAGUUGGGCACUGCCAAAGCUGUCCCCUCGGUGAGCAUUUUAGACCAGAGGCCUUCCAGUCCCGUGGGAGAGGCGGCGGCCAGGGCAGUCAGCCCGGGGAGCGGCCAGCAGAAGUCUCUGGAGGAUGACGGAGCUGCACGGAGCCUUGGGGUGUCCUCACCCACCAGCCCGAAGAGCAGGAGCUGGAUUUCAGAGGAUGACUUCUACCGGCCUCCCCAGGAGCCGCCCGCAGAGAGCCCUUCAGAACACUCCGUGGCUUCUUCCGGAGGGACUCCGGAGUCCAGGCCUGGGCUCCUCCGGCACUUUUCUCAAGGGCCAAGGAAAAGCCACUCCACGGGGGCCUUAGACCAAGCCUGCGUGCCUUCCCCAGGAGGCCGGCCAAGCAGGGCAGCGGCGGCCCAGGAGCACCAGAACUUCAGGGUGGUGCACCGCAGGCAGAUGGGGCUGUCCAACCCGUUCCGGGGUCUCAUGAAGCUGGGCACCGUGGAGCGGCGGGGGGCGAUGGGCAUCUGGAAGGAACUCUUCUGCGAGCUCUCCCCUCUGGAGUUCCGCCUCUGCCUGAACACCGAGGAACGCACCUGCGUGGAGAACUGCUCCCUGCUGCGCUGCGAGGCCGUGGGGCCAGCCCACGGCGACGGCCGCUUCGAGCUGGUCUUCUCUGGCAGGAAGCUGGCCCUGCGGGCCUCCUCCCAGGACGAAGCCGAGGACUGGCUGGACCGGGUGCGGGAGGCCCUACAGAAGUGCCGGCCCCAGCAGGAGGAUGAGUGGGUGAACAUCCAGUACCCGGAGCAGCCCGAGGACCCCCCAGACGCCCCCCGGGGUGGCCUCCCCUCCCACCCGGACCCACCCACUGAGCCCGAGACUCUCCAGGGCACGCAGUUCUGUUGGUCCUCCGCCCAAGUUCCCGAGCCAGACGCUAUUAAAGAAUCCCUUCUGUACCUGUACACGGACAGGACCUGGAUGCCCUAUAUUUUUUCCCUAUCCUUGGAGUCUCUGAAGUGCUUCCGAGUGAGAAACAGCGAGAAAAUGUUAAGUGACAGCCACGGAGUCGAGACCAUCCGAGACAUCCUGCCAGACACGAGCCUCGGGGGCCCAUCCUUCUUCAAAAUCAUCACGGCCAAGGCCGUCCUGAAGCUGCAGGCCGGGAAUGCUGAGGAGGCCGCCCGGUGGAGGGAGCUGGUGCGCAAGGUCCUGGCGUCCUACUUGGAGACGGCCGAGGAGGCGGUGACACUGGGCGGGAGUCUGGACGAAAACUGUCAGGAGGUGCUGAAGUUCGCCACGCGGGAGAACGGCUUCCUGCUGCGGUACCUCGUGGCCAUCCCCACGGAGAAAGGCCUCGACUCCCAGGGCUGCUUCUGUGCAGGCUGCUCCCGGCAGAUUGGCUUCUCGUUUGUACGACCCAAGCUUUGUGCCUUCUCUGGCCUCUAUUACUGCGACAUCUGCCACCAGGACGAUGGCUCGGUGAUUCCGGCCAGGAUCAUCCACAACUGGGACCUCACCAAGCGCCCGAUCUGCCGGCAGGCUCUGAAGUUCCUGACGCAGAUCCGGGCCCAGCCCCUCAUCAACCUGCAGCUGGUGAAUGCCUCGCUGUACGAGCAUGUGGAGCAGAUGCGCCUCGUCCGGAGGAGACGGGAGCAGCUGAAGCUUCUGGGGGAUUACCUGGGCCUGUGCCGAAGUGGGGCCCUGAAGGAGCUGAGCAAGAGGCUCAACCACAGGAAUUACCUCUUGGAGUCUCCCCACAAGUACAGUGUCGCUGACCUCCAGCAGGCCUGGCGGCCUGACCUUGCCCUCCACAGAUCGCGGACGGGGUGUACGAAGGGUUCCUCGAUGCCCUGAUCGGAUUCGCCUCCCAGCACGUCUACCACUGCGACCUGUGCACCCAGCGUGGCUUCAUCUGCCAGAUCUGCCACCACCAUGACAUCAUCUUCCCCUUUGAGUUUGACACCACCGUCAGGUGCGGCGAGUGCAAGACCGUCUUCCACCAGAGCUGCCAGGCCGUGGUGAAGGGGGGCUGUCCCCGCUGUGCCCGCCGGCGCAAGUACCAAGAAAGGAGCGCUCUCCUCUAAGCCACUGCACCGUCCCCGGCCCGAGACUGCGGAGCAGCGGCUCGCUGGCAGCCCGGCCGCCUGUGGCAUCAGCCUGCAUACUCUCGAGGUGUCCCAGCCGUGUCCCCUGCCGGGAGGACACAGAUGCGACCGGAGCACGAGCCUACCAGACGAAGCCCUCGAGGAUGUCCCCCAGUCCCUCUACCACCCGUCUGCUCCACAAGGUGGGGACGCCAUCAGAUGCCCCCCCCGUCCCAGGGGAAGCGGGGAGGGGAGCUUUGCACUAACCAGGCCCCAGCUCACCUCACAGACACGGCACCUCCAUCAGGGCUCUUCAAACACUGUGGAAACCACACUUGGGCACGUGCUCAGUUCCACAUUCCGGAUUCAAAAAAGGUCUAGUUUUUUAAGGUGGGUUUUUUCCCUUCAUAUUUCAAUAGAAAAUAUUUUUUUAUUCUUGACCCUACACAAGUCACCCGAGAAAUCCAGACAUUCUCACGCGGAGCAAACACGUGGGAACAUUUGGCCUGUGGGCCAAAGGCGGGUGGCUCGGCGGGCAGGCCGCCGCUGGGCCAGAACUGUCAGCUCUACGGGUGCCUUUCCUUCACUCGCGCCUGACACUGCUGCCCACGGCUCAAAUACGACGUGCCAAACCGCCCAGGGGCUGUCGGGGUCGGUCCGAUUACCACCCUCUUCCUCUCCCUCGCCUCUUUUCGCCCUACCCUGCCCUCCUCACCUGAAAAGCCCGUCACCUCUCUCCGCGUCAGAGCCCCCUGGCUCCGCCGUAGCCCAGGCUCUCAGUCCCUGCGGGAGAAGGGAGGGACUCGGAACCAGCACUGUGAGCACUUUGAGCCCUCGCUUGGUCCAGGGCCUGGUCAUCAUCUUGCCCACCCCUCAACCCCGUGCCCUCCUCACCUACUGCAGACCCAAAGCCAGCCGGGCGGGGCUGCUGCAGACACUCUCAGGGGGACACCCCCCACCCCCCACCGCCUGACUGACCCCUGCUGGGACAGAGGAAGGCGGGGGCCCACAGAGAGGGCAGUGAGCCCAGGCCAGCCUGGGGACCGUGGAGCGGUGACCCCCGUCCUCCCAGGAAGAGUGCCAGCCGUGCUGCGGCAAUGUGUGGGGCGGCCGCCUCGUGGGAGGGAUGCCUAGCCUCAGUUUACAAAGCCAUGAAUUCACAAAGCUUUGCUGGACUGGCCCGGAGGGGGCGCCACCAGAGACUAGAGAACUUCCCCGGAGCACGAUUGCCUUUUGAAGGGGUGUGGGGUAGAGUGCGAGCCUGGAAUGGUUUGCAAAGUGAUGUUUAGACCCUGUGGUUUGGGAGCGAUUCCCCUGCUGCCUUCCCCCAUCUCUCCUGGACCCAUCACCCCCCUGACCCCCAGCCCUGGGCCCUCUGGCCAUCCUGUCAGCUCUCGGCUUGGAUUGGGGGCCUCAGGUGGAGACUGCCUUUCACUGUCAAGGGAUGAAUCUACUCCCACCUCUCCCCUGGGGUGAUUCGGCUGCUGAGUCACCUGCCCAGCCCUGUGUAGCUGGAUAAGUUGUGCAAUAGAAGAGAGGAGGUGGUAGGCAGGUGGGGGAGGGGGCUGCCACACAGCCUGUCUGUCCCCUGUCACGGAAACAGUACGCACCUAUGCCCGGCACACCAAAGCCUCCUAAAUGGGGAAGCGGAUCCCUAUCCUCAGCCCGCACCCCCACAGCCAGCAUUAAUGCCCCACCGCAGACCCAGCGCAGCCGGCCAGAGCCACAGAUGCCCCAGAUCCCCCAGUGGCCCAGAUCCGGCCUGGGACAGCGGGUGGUGCCGCCCAGGCCGGGCCUCAUCUCAGGCCCUUGAGAACAAUGUGCGCACCAGAAGGUGCCCUAGGAGGCAACAGGAGUGAGGCCCCAGAGGAGCUCGCUUAGGCUGUGUGGGGCCUGCGCCCCCCCCUCCUCCUCCCCCUCCACCCCCACCGGGGAUUAGCAGCAUUAACUACAACUCACCCUCUCCCCAGUACCAGAAAGCUGCUGAUGCUUCCCGAUGAGUUGACUCUUACCCUCUCACCUCCAAUGGAAAGCUGAUGUGAACCUCAGUGGUGCCCACACUAUUUUUAAAACGCCAUUUUAUGCAAUAAACUGUUUUCUAGUGAGGCGCGCUGGCCCCGAACGGCGCUUUGCAAUGUACUGAAGGAACUGCUGCUGUGUGAUUUUUGAAUGAUUUUGCAGUAAAGACCUGAUCUUUCUCA